AUGAACGCUGGCGGCGUGCCUAAUACAUGCAAGUCGAGCGAACGGACGAGAAGCUUGCUUUUCUGAUGUUAGCGGCGGACGGGUGAGUAACACGUGGAUAACCUACCUAUAAGACUGGGAUAACUUCGGGAAACCGGAGCUAAUACCGGAUAAUAUUUUGAACCGCAUGGUUCAAAAGUGAAAGACGGUCUUGCUGUCACUUUUAGAUGGAUCCGCGCUGCAUUAGCUAGUUGGUAAGGUAACGGCUUACCAAGGCAACGAUGCAUAGCCGACCUGAGAGGGUGAUCGGCCACACUGGAACUGAGACACGGUCCAGACUCCUACGGGAGGCAGCAGUAGGGAAUCUUCCGCAAUGGGCGAAAGCCUGACGGAGCAACGCCGCGUGAGUGAUGAAGGUCUUCGGAUCGUAAAACUCUGUUAUUAGGGAAGAACAUAUGUGUAAGUAACUGUGCACAUCUUGACGGUACCUAAUCAGAAAGCCACGGCUAACUACGUG
rnacentral:rRNA from 1 species